AGGGGAAUCGCCAAGUUGGUUAAGGCAUCGGAUUUUGAUUCCGACAUACGAGGGUUCGAAUCCUUCUUCCCCUGCCA
rnacentral:tRNA from 4 species